rnacentral:rRNA from 1 species
UACGUAGGGGGCGAGCGUUGUCCGAAGUUACUGGGCGUAAAGCGCGCGUAGGCGGUUAAUUAAGUCUGUGGUGAAAGGUUCAGCGCUCAACGCGAACAUUGCCCUGGAUACUGGUUGACUUGAGUCUGGGAGGGGGUAGUGGAAUUCCUGGUGUAGCGGUGAAAUGCGUAGAUAUCAGGAGGAACACCGGUGGCGAAGGCGACUACCUGGCCUAAGACUGACGCUGAGGUGCGAAAGCGUGGGGAGCAAACAGG